GAUAAACGCUGGCGGCGCACAUAAGACAUGCAAGUCGAACGAGUAGAGAUAUUUCUUUUAGUUAUAUCAAAGCUAGUGGCGGACUGGUGAGUACAAUGUAAGCAACCUGCCUAUUAGAGGGGAACAACAGUUAGAAAUGACUGCUAAUACCGCAUAUGCCAUAAUGUUCACAUGAACAUAGUGGGAAAGGAGCAAUUCGCUAAUAGAUGGGCUUACACCUGAUUAGCUAGUUGGUAAGGUAACGGCUUACCAAGGCAACGAUCAGUAGCCGAACUGAGAGGUUAAACGGCCACAUUGGGACUGAGAUACGGCCCAGACUCCUACGGGAGGCAGCAGUCGGGAAUAUU
rnacentral:rRNA from 1 species